AUGUGGGAAGAAUGCUUGCCUCAUAUUGAGUUUGCUUAUAAUCGUUCAUUGCAUUCUACUACUAAGAUGUGCCCUUUUGAAAUUGUGUAUGGUUUCCUACCUCGUGCACCUAUUGAUUUGUUGCCUCUUCCAUCUUCGGAGAAGGUUAAUUUUGAUGCUAAACAACGUGCUGAAUUGAUCUUCAAAAUGCAUGAGUUAACUAAGGAAAACAUUGAGCGUAUGAAUGCUAAAUAUAAACUUGCUGGAGAUAAGGGUAGAAAACAUGUUGUGUUUGCACCUGGAGAUCUUGUUUGGUUACAUUUGCGUAAGGAUAGAUUUCCUGAUUUGCGCAAAUCAAAGCUAAUGCCACGUGCUGAUGGUCCUUUUAAGGUGUUAGAGAAAAUAAAUGAUAAUGCAUAUAAACUUGAGCUGCCUGCAGAUUUUGGGGUUAGUCCCACUUUUAACAUUGCAGAUUUGAAGCCUUAUUUGGGUGAGGAAGAUGAGCUUUCGUCGAGGACGACUUCAUUUCAAGAAGGGGAGGAUGAUGAAGACAUCAAUACCAUUGUUACACCCACAGCCCCUGCUGCUAUACAUACUGGACCAAUUACUAGAGCUCGCGCACGCCAAUUAAAUUACCAGGAAACAGACCCUCGUGGUCAGGUUGAUCGUGCUCCGGCUUGGUCAAUAACCUCUCGGAGUUGGUUUAGCGAUUGCUAA
rnacentral:rRNA from 1 species